UACGGAGGGUGCAAGCGUUGUCCGGAAUCACUGGGCGUAAAGGGCGCGUAGGCGGCUCAUGAAGGCUGUGGUGAAAGUCCGGGGCUCAACCUCGGAUCGGCCGUGGCGACUCGUGGGCUGGAGCACUGUAGAGGCGGGUGGAAUUCCAGGUGUAGCGGUGGAAUGCGUAGAGAUCCGGAAGAACACCAGUGGCGAAGGCGGCCCGCUGGGCAGUGGCUGACGCUGAGGCGCGACAGCGUGGGGAGCAAACAGG
rnacentral:rRNA from 1 species